rnacentral:lncRNA from 1 species
CCCCACCUCACCAAACAUCCCACUCCACCAACUCCAUUAUCUUUUGCUCCCCACCAAAUCCUUCUCCCUUCUUACUCAAUAGAUCGCCAGUGGAGCUGUUUAAGAAAAUCCAAUUCGUAUAUUCCAACAGAAUGUUUACAGCAAGCUCAUGCCAACAUCAAAACCAAGUUUCACACAGAAAAAAAAACACCCGAAAUAACAUCUAUAAUCUCCGAGAUCUCCUUAUUCAAACAGUAUAUGCCAACAAAUUUUCACCAAGAAGAAGAAAACAGAUCAGCCAAUCAAGCACAAAUAGACAAGGUAAACACUAGGCUCAGCUCAUUCAAUCCAUUCGUUUUUCAUCCAACAAGCAUGAUCGAUUAAAGGAUACUAAGCAUACAAUGAGUAUAUUCAUAAAGAGACUUAGCAAACUCAUAUGAUCUUUAGGCAGAAAUCAGUUUAUGCUAUAUUUUCUUAUCACACGAGGCAAGCAAGGAAAUUUCUUGAUACAUUAGUAAACCACGAACUUAGUUUUAUCUCUUGCAUAAUCAAUUAUAGAAAUACCAUAAUUCAAUAGAAAAAGGGAGAGAGUGAGGCUUGAGCCGGUUCUUGAGCAGAGGACAGAUUUCAGCGGCAUCUCCUGCUGCCUCGGCGGAAAUUGCGUGACAACAGCAGCAGCGUCACGAACGAAACAACGGCGCUGAAUCGCUGAUCUUCCACAAACGGUGGAGAUGGCGGCAGAACCAUGGCGGCAGAGGCGGAAAAGAAACAAGGCUCGACUCCCCGCCUGCUUUGACAUCUGAAUCGGGACCGGAACGGAGGAAGAAGGCGGCGUGACGCAACUCGAACCCAUCGGGACCCCAACAACAACGAUCCAAGGACAGCAGCGGAUCGGCGAGCCUUUCACCUGCCGCCGGGAGGAACAGCGGCACCAUUCCAAGGGCAGCAGCGGCGCGAUGAGGGCGUCGGACACUCCCCUGCUCGCCGGCCUUCACAAGGCGGCGGCGGAACUUCAGCGUGAGGGAGAGAGACCGGAACCGAUGGCCGCUGAACAACCGAGGAAGAGGGCCGAUCAGAUCUUGGCCGAGAAAGAGAGAGAGCGGCCGGAAGGAGAGGAGGCCGACGGGCUCCAGGCCGGAGCAACCCGCUCCCAGACGGCGACCGUCGCCCAAUUUCGAAAGGGUAGCAGCAGCAGCAGCGCUGAUUCCUUGAGAAUCGGGCUCGAUGUUGGGGAGGAAAGAGGACGGCGCCGGGGCUGAGCGCGUCGACAGAUGACGCCGGCUGAAGUCGCGGCGGCGGACGCCUCGUGUGAAGGCGAGUCGAGAGUGAGAGGGAGAAGAGGCGUGCGGCUGGGUGAGAGAGUGAGGAGAGUUCGGCUGUUGAGAGUGAUAGAGAGAACCGAGCGAGGGAGAAAGUAAGGUGGGCCUUUUGUUAAUUUACUUGGGCUUCAUUUAAAUGAAUUGGGCUUCUAUUUUUUUGGGCUGUAGUGUUGGGCCGAAAAUUUUUAAAGGAAAGAAUUUUGGGCCAUUUUCCUUUAAUAUAAUUUGAGCAGAUGGGCUUUCUUAUUUAAAAGUUGGGCUUUCACUAAAUUCGAAUGGGCCAGUCUUUAUUUAAUUGGCCUUCUCAUUAUUUAUUGGGCUGAAUUAAUUUAAGGAGUUGGGCUGAUGCAUAUAUUUAUGAUGGGUUAUUAUUCUAAUCCCAUUUAUAUUUUAUUGGGCCAGUUUAAUUCAUCACUUGGGCCGAGUUUUAUUUAAUUUUAAGCUCAGAAUAAUUCAUUCUAUUCUUGGGCUAAUUUUAAAUUAUGGACUGAAAUUUUAUUUAGUUGGGCUUUACAUGAUUUAUUUAUUUGAGCCCAACAGACCUUAUUUUAAUAUCGGCCUUAUUAUUUUAUUUCUUUGGGCCGAGGCUUAUUUAAUUGCAGCUGGGCCUUGCGUACUUAUUUAACUUAGCCCAGCUAUUCAUUAUUUAUUCAUUGGGCCAAGAUUUAUUUAAUUACUUAAGCCAAUGAAUUAUUUCGAUUGGGCUUUCGUACUAUUUAUUCAGGCCCACUUCUACUUAAUUAAUUAUCAGGCUGCCUUGUUGAGCCUCUUAAUUAUUGAGCUUAUAUUAUUGUUUCCUUAAGGCCAAAUUAUUAUUUUGAGCUGCCAUUAUUUAUUUGAGUUAAGCUACUCGUUUUAUUUAAUUAAUUGGCUACUCUCUUUUGAGCCUAUUAAUUAUUUGAGAUUAUAUUAGUAAUUAUGUUUCUAUCGAAAAGCCCGAUAGUUUCUACAAGGUCACACCUCGUUUAAAGCCGAGUUAGUCAUUUUUCAAUCAAGUACAAAUGCGAGAUUUAUUUCACAACUAGAAUAUUACGAUGAGGAAGGAAGAAGCACAACUUUAUUCGACCGCGUUAGACGAGAAUUAGUUAAAUCUAUUAACAAGGAUUAAUAGUAGAAUUCCCGAUUAUCGCUCAAAAGAUUAGAUCAUGCAUACCAGAUUCAUGCAUAGUUAAAUUACGCUUUCUCAUUAAUUAAGAAUUUUCCUCGAGGCAAUGUCUUAUUUUAUAUUCUCGUGAUUAAGGUCAAGCGCGAGAGUAAGAACUACACAAGGAGUUAGAGUACCUUAGCAAAACUUUGCUAUCAGGUGGGCAAUU